rnacentral:tRNA from 1 species
GGGGUAUUAGCUCAGGUGGUAGAGCACUUGACUUUUAAUCAAGUUGUCCGGGGUUCGAGUCCCCGAUGCCUCACGA